GGAAGGAUCAUUAUCGAGUGCGACCCCCCCGUAAAAUAGGGGGUACCUCCCGUCCUUUGCUGGGUCCCCCAACUUUUGAGGGACUUUUCAAACCUUCUGCUUCGGCGGGGUUAUCCCCGCCGGAACAACCUCAAAAAUUCUCGUUCAACUGUUCAGUCCGAGAAAAAUUUUAAAAAGCGAACAACUUUCAACAACGGAUCUCUUGGUUCUGGCAUCGAUGAAGAACGCAGCGAAAUGCGAUAAGUAAUGUGAAUUGCAGAAUUCAGUGAAUCAUCGAAUCUUUGAACGCAUAUUGCGCCCCUUGGUAUUCCGGGGGGCACACCUGUUCGAGCGCCAUUUCGACCCUCAAGCAUGGCUUGGUGUUGGGUAAGGUCCUAGGGGGACCAGCCCGUAACUUGUAGGCGGCUACCGCCCGCGCCCUCAGCGUAGCAGGCUCACGCACUCGCUCGGGGACGGUUCGCGUGGCGCGCCCACUAAAUUUUCAAGGUUUGGCCUCGGAUCAGGUGGGGAUACCCGCUGAACUUAAGCAUAUCAAUAAGCGGAGGAAAAGAAACCAACAGGGAUUGCCCCAGUAACGGCGAGUGAAGCGGCAAUUGCUCAAAUUUGAAAUCUGGCUCCCUUGGGGUCCGAAUUGUAAUUUGCAGAGGAAGCUUCGGUGAAGAUGCUAGCUCAAGUCCCCUGGAACGGGACGUCAUAGAGGGUGAGAACCCCGUCCGGCCAUGCGUCUGAACCAUGUGUUGCUCCUUCGACGAGUCGAGUUGUUUGGGAAUGCAGCUCAAAAUGGGUGGUAAAUUCCAUCUAAGGCUAAAUACUGGCCAGAGACCGAUAGCGCACAAGUAGAGUGAUCGAAAGAUGAAAAGCACUUUGAAAAGAGAGUUAAAAAGCACGUGAAAUUGUUGAAAGGGAAGCGCUUGCGGCCAGACCCUUUCGUAGUUGUUCAACCGGUCUAUCGGCCGGCUCAAUCUUCUACGUUAGGGCCAGCAUCGGUUUAGGUGGUUGGAUAAAGGCCCUAGGAAUGUGGCCCUUUGGGGUGUUAUAGCCUUGGGUAAAAUGCGACCUGUCUAGACCGAGGGAAGCGAUUUUCCAGGAUGUUGGCAUAAUGGUUGCAAGCGGCCCGUCUUGAAACACGGACCAAGGAGUCUAACAUUCACGCGAGUGUUUGGGUAUAAAACCCGUACGCGAAAUGAAAGUGAACGGAGGUGGGAACUCUUUAGAGUGCACCAUCGACCGAUCCUGAUGUUUUCGGAAGGAUUUGAGUAAGAGCGUGACUGUUGGGACCCGAAAGAUGGUGAACUAUGCGUGAAUAGAAUGAAGCCAGAGGAAACUCUGGUGGAAGUUCGCAGCGGUUCUGACGUGCAAAUCGAUCGUCAAAUUUGCGUAUGGGGGCGAAAGACGUGAGUAUUUAUUAACAAAAAUUUUAUUUAAUGAGAAUGUAUACUAAUGUUUGAAUAGUAAUCGAACCAUCUAGUAGCUGGUUCCUGC
rnacentral:misc_RNA from 1 species